GGGCUGAAUCUCGGCAGCGCAAGGCCAGACGCCCACGGCUGAUUUCUCCCCCCCUUAUGUUCCACUAACGACUCCUAUUCGACUUUUUGCUGGUGUCACUCGCCUUCGUCCCUCACAUGCGACAGACAAGCUCACCGUCUUUCUCUCCAUCAGUCUACCCACCGUCGACUUCUCCCUGAAGUCAGUGGUCCUUGUUGUGACGACUGAACGUCGCUCCUGCGGUGUGCCUUUCCGUCUCUCCCUCUGCGGCUCAGUGAUUCGAUUAUCCUUCUAUGUUCUCUUCCUUCAACCGUCGCGCUGCUAUGUCUUACGUGGUGGCGUACUCCCAGACCGUGCACUCCACCUCUCGCGCACGCAACGGCGUCUGCCAUAGUCUCCAGCGCGUCAUGUGCGGUGCGUUGAAGAGCUCGCGCAAACGCUGAGAGACCUUCGACAACGUCCCGUAGCACUUGGCACGAUGCCAGGCCGUCCUCAGCGCUCUGCAGAGCACCGUCGGCAUGAACACUGCCAUGUAAAGCUGCACUGCUGAGGAGUUGUAGGCGAUGACGCUUAUGGCGAGCACCGGUGACCAUCCCACUACCACGCGCGCCCACUUUUCUAGCGCGUCGCACGGUUACCUUCCUUCCAGCCUCUACAACUCUGCGGAAACUUCACAUGAGAAGACGGUCGAGUCCUUGGAGCCGUCCGGGGCGGAGCCGCGACCACCAGCAGGUCGGAAAGUAAUGGGUUGGUGCACGGCACCUACGUCCUGGCCAACGGGCUGCGUGAGGUGACGCCGUCGUCACUCAACACCACCGCCUCCGGCAUCUAAGCCCAGGACCCCACCACAUCCACUGUGACUCUUCCCACUUCGAAUCGAGUCGAACAGUCACCACAACUAUGGCAGCUCACAACGGCGUGAUUCGUCACCGAGCGCCAGCGUUUACAUCGCCUUCGCCUCAACCGUCUCUCCCUCUCUCCCUCUCCGUCGCCGGCCUCCCAUAUAAACCUCUGUCCUUGACAG
rnacentral:misc_RNA from 1 species